UACAGAGGUCUCAAGCGUUGUUCGGAUUCAUUGGGCGUAAAGGGUGUGUAGGUGGCGCGCUAAGUCGGGUGUGAAAUUUCGGAGCUUAACUCCGAAACUGCAUUCGAUACUGGCGUGCUUGAGGACUGGAGAGGAGACUGGAAUUCAUGGUGUAGCAGUGAAAUGCGUAGAGAUCAUGAGGAAGACCAGUGGCGAAGGCGGGUCUCUGGCCCGAUACUGACGCUGAGGCACGAAAGCGUGGGGAGCAAACAGG
rnacentral:rRNA from 1 species